UACAGAGGUCUCGAGCGUUGUUCGGAUUCAUUGGGCGUAAAGGGUGCGUAGGUGGCGCUGUAAGUCGGGUGUGAAAUUUCGGAGCUUAACUCCGAAACUGCAUUCGAUACUGCGGGGCUUGAGGACUGGAGAGGAGACUGGAAUUCAUGGUGUAGCAGUGAAAUGCGUAGAGAUCAUGAGGAAGACCAGUGGCGAAGGCGGGUCUCUGGACAGUUCCUGACACUGAGGCACGAAGGCCGGGGGAGCAAACGGG
rnacentral:rRNA from 1 species